rnacentral:rRNA from 1 species
UACGGAGGGUGCAAGCGUUGUCCGGAUUUAUUGGGUUUAAAGGGUGCGUAGGCGGCCCAUUAAGUCAGCGGUGAAAGCCCGGGGCUCAACCCCGGAACCGCCGUUGAUACUGGUGGGCUUGAGUAUGGACGAGGUUGGCGGAAUUGAGGGUGUAGCGGUGAAAUGCUUAGAUACCCUCAAGAACACCGAUUGCGUAGGCAGCUAACUAGGCCAUAACUGACGCUGAGGCACGAAAGCGUGGGGAGCGAACAGGAUUAGAAACCCCGGUAGUCC